CUCACUUUGACGGGGCAUAUUCUAAAGUUGGGACAAUACAGAGAAGAUUAGCAUGGGCAAGGAUGAUGUGCAUAUUCAUGAAGUGUUCCAUGUUUUU
ensembl:snRNA U6 U6 spliceosomal RNA